CCGAGAAAAGCCUCCCCUCAGUCCGGUAGAUGUCAAGAAGGCUGUCUCUCUCUUCCCCCAACUUAAGAUUGACCAUGACGCCCAAGAGCUGUGUUACGUAUACAGAUGUAGGAUAACCCGACGGGGAUGGUACGGCAUUUGCAAUGGAUUCGGCAUUGUUCCGGCUUUGACCUCCGACCUACGACGGAAAGAGGCACGUAUGGCGCAUGGUGCACACCAUGAUUCUCCCCAUCCACCUUGAGCGGAAUGAUGAAUCCGACACCAGAGCUAACUUUUUGCGGCUUUUCUUGUUUUGUGCGCAAUUUGUAUUUGAUUUAUUCAAUAACGUGAAUCCUCCACAAUGCACAUGAAGUCAUGAACCUCACAUUUAUCACACAGCCAAAGACAUAUCUGUGUUCGAAUCUAUGCCGAGACAUUUGCGUAAAAUCUUAAAAGGGCAAUAAUUGGCUGAAUGAUGAACUUGUGGAGGGUUUCACAAAUGAAAAAGCUAAUCAAUUUCUAUUUCGGUUUCCCUUCCAUUUCCCCCUUCCUUUUUCGUUUCUGGGAAGUCCCUUAAAUAUCCCAAUGAUAUUAAACACAGCACACAGGUUGUACAAGUACCUCCUAGUCUAGCCAACAUGUUCAGCAAGGCUAAGAACUUAGAAUAACCACGACUCGUGCAAAGGCAAAUCGACCCUCAGUAAUAACACACUCUCAUUUUCCCAACAAUGGACAUUCGGCUCAGAGUACUAUAAAUCCACCAUCUUCACUAUCAAUUUUACCAGGUAUGAAUGAACAAAAGAAGAGGUACAUGGGCAAGAGACAUCCACACAUCAAAAGACAAUUUACUAGUACCAGAAGAAUAGAAGAAUUCAGAAUCCCAAACUCUACACUGGUCUUACAAUACGAAAUGUACCAUCAAAAAAUUACAAGUAAACAACACCAAAAGGAUAUCAAACUGGUAGAACACCGUUAAUUUGCUAAUAAUAUGAUCCUAAUUAACGCAAGUGUAACACACCAUACACUACUUACAUUUGCCGCCACCACAGAUGGAUAACACUAUGAUCAGUAUUAAGGCAACAAGGAUACCAAGAACUAUAAGCUUUAUCUUCAUAUUCUGAAACCACAUCUUCCUCCUCAUUUGGGUACCCUGAGUCCUGAAGUCUUGUGCCUG